GUCUACGGCCAUGCUACCCUGAACAAGCCCGAUCCCAUCUGAUCUCGGAAGCUAAGCAGGGUUGGGCCUGGUUAGUACUUGGAUGGGAAACCACCUAGGAAGACCAGGUGCUGUAGGUA
rnacentral:rRNA from 1 species